UUUAAUUGAAUAGAAUUUGGUGCGGGGUGGUAAGCAGGCCAGAGUCUGAAGACCGCAGGUUCCCGGGUGGGGCAUGUGGGCGAAGGAUGUCCGAUAGGUACUGGGGGGCACGGGCAUGGAAGGACUUGUAGGUAAGGAGGAGGACUUUGUAGGUGAUGUGGGACUUGACCGGCAACCAGUGGAGGUGGAUGAGGGUGGGAGUGAUGUGCUGCCACG